UGGUAUAUGCUUGUCUAGAGGACUAAGCCAUGCAAGUGCCUGUAUGAAGAACGAGAAAAAUGAAACUGCGAAUGGCUCGGUAAAACAGCUAUAAUUUUUUCAGGGAUAAUACUACUCGGAUAACCGUAGUAAAGCUAGAGCUAAUACGUGCGCUAACACAGGUUUCGGCUUGUGGUACAGAUUAGAUUACAACCCAACUUUGUUGGUGAUUCAUACUUUUUGUUCUGAUUGCGCUCUCUUUUGAGUGGCGGGAACACCCUGAUUAAAUUUCUGACCUAUCAACUAUGAUGGAAAGGUAGUGUCUUUCCAUGGUUGUGACGGGUAACGGACCGUGGGUGCGGGAUUCCGGAGAGGGAGCCUGAGAAACGGCUACUACAUCCAAGGAAGGCAGCAGGCGCGCAACUUACCCAAUUCGAAUUUCGAGAGGUAGUGACAAAAAAUAGCAAUAGGGGGUCCAUUGGGCUCGCCUAAUUGGAAUGAGAAAACAGCAAAUACAAUAUCGAGGAACCAGCAGAGGGCAAGUCUGGUGCCAGCAGCCGCGGUAAUUCCAGCUCUGUAAGCGUAUACUAAAGUUGUUGCAGUUAAAACGCUCGUAGUCGAACUAUGGUUGUCAUUCUGGCUUGGUUUCCUUCGGGGGCUGAUGUCUGGGGUGCUGCCUUUGUGGUGUGUGUGCUUGAUGGUGCUUUAUUGUAUUGUCCUGUGCCCGCCACUGUUUACUGUGAAAAAAUUAGAGUGCUCAAAGCAAGCAAUUGCUUCUGAAUAAAUUAGCAUGGAAUAAUGGAAUAGGACCUGGUCUUGUUUUGUUGGUUUGUGAAGUCUGGGUAAUGAUUAACAGGGACGGUCGGGGGCAUUUGUAUUCCAGGGUUAGAGGUGAAAUUCUUAGAUCCUUGGAAGACAAACAGCUGCGAAAGCGUCUGCCAAGGACGUUUUCAUUGAUCAGGAACGAAAGUAAGGGGAUCGAAGACGAUCAGAUACCGUCGUAGUCUUUACUAUAAACUAUGAGAACUGGGGAUCGGGUGUGCUUUUGUAUGUAUGCUCGGCACCCUCCGGGAAACCAAAGUGUUUGCUUUCUGGGGGGAGUAUGGUCGCAAGUCUGAAACUUAAAGGAAUUGACGGAAGGGCAUCACUGGGUGUGGAGCCUGCGGCUUAAUUUGACUCAACACGGGAAAACUUACCAGGAUAGGACAUUGUGAGGAUUGACAGAUUGAGAGCUCUUUCUUGAUUCAAUGGUUGGUGGUGCAUGGCCGUUCUUAGUUGGUGGAGUGAUCUGUCUGGUUAAUUCCGUUAACGAGCGAGACCCGGACGAGCUAAUUGGGAAUUUUUAUUACUUUGUUACUAGAAAGGUUUAUCCUUUUAUACGGACUGUGGGUGUUCAGUCUACGGAAGCUCCGGGCAAUAACAGGUCUGAGAUGCCCUUAGAUGUUCUGGGCCGCACGCGUGCUACAAUGAAUAACCCAACGGGUUAGGUAGUGUUGAAACAUAUCCAAAUCUCUAAAUCUAUUCGUGCUGGGGAUAAAAGCCUGCAAUUUUUCUUUUUGAACGAGGAAUACCUUGUAAGCGUGAGUCAUUAUCUCAUGCUGAAUACGUCCCUGCCCUUUGUACACACCGCCCGUCGCUCCUACCGAUUGAGUGUUCCGGUGAGGCCUUGGGAGAGCUGAGGUAACUGUGAUUUAUCAUGGAUGCUUGGGUUCGAACUUGUCCAAACCUUAUCACUUAGAGGAAGGAGAAGUCGUAACAAGGUUUCC
rnacentral:rRNA from 1 species